AUUCAAGCAACUAUUAGACAAGGUUAACGGAGGUUGAUCGGAACGAAACUUGGUGGGGAUGUUCGUCUCAUGGCCCGAAAGGUCUGUAAGAAUUUUGAAAGAAAUCGGCCACUAGUUGGCGCUAACGAGUUUUUUGGCUCUGUAAUCACGUGGUGUUUCACAUAUGCAUGCAAUAUGGAUAUCAUUUGAUAGAGCUCCUCAUAAUGCACAACUUUGCCUCAAGAACCAUUACUGUCAGUCAAAUCGUUCAUGAAUUAUUCACAAAUAUGUUAAAAACAUACUUUUGCGAACUAGUCCUAGGUUUUUCGCCUAAUCAGAACCAAACCACUGCAGUAAUAUUCUCUGGACUCUGUAGAUCAAUAAUUAUCAAAAAAAUGUUGAAUUUUGUCCUUUGGUUAGCUAUAACUGGGUCAUUUUUAAAAGGGGCGUGGCCAAAUAUACUCAAAAGCCUAUAAAACCUAAAUCAAAACUCAAAACUUUAUGAAACUUGGUGAAAACAUGUAGCAGAUGACUCUUAACAAGCAUGCAAAGAUUCAUGGAGAUCGGACCAUAGGUGGCGCUAUAACAGUUAAAAGAGCAUCAAAAAACACAAGAUUUCAAUAGAAAAUGACCUCAUAUUGUAGAACAUGUUCAUAUAUUCACAGAAACACAAGAUCUUCAUAUCAUAUGAUAGAACUCCUCAGUCUGAACAACUUUGCCUCUAGGCCUAAUGCUGUCAAUCAAAUCGUUCAUUAAAUAUUCACAAAUAUGUUAAAAACAUACUUUCGCGAACUAGUGCUAGGUUUUCCACUUAAUCUCGAUCAAACUACUACAGAACAAUUCUCU
ensembl:lncRNA